AACGAACGCUGGCGGCAUGCCUAACACAUGCAAGUCGAACGAGACCUUCGGGUCUAGUGGCGCACGGGUGCGUAACGCGUGGGAACCUGCCCUUAGGUUCGGAAUAACUCCCCGAAAGGGGUGCUAAUACCGGAUAAUGUCUUCGGACCAAAGAUUUAUCGCCUUUGGAUGGUCCCGCGUUGGAUUAGCUAGUUGGUAGGGUAAAAGCCUACCAAGGCGACGAUCCAUAGCUAGUCUGAGAGGAUGAUCAGCCACACUGGGACUGAGACACGGCCCAGACUCCUACGGGAGGCAGCAGUGGGGAAUAUUGGACAAUGGGCGAAAGCCUGAUCCAGCAAUGCCGCGUGAGUGAUGAAGGCCUUAGGGUUGUAAAGCUCUUUUACCCGGGAUGAUAAUGACAGUACCGGGAGAAUAAGCUCCGGCUAACUCCGUG
rnacentral:rRNA from 1 species